rnacentral:rRNA from 1 species
GUCUACGGCCAUACCACGCUGAACGCGCCCGAUCUCGUCUGAUCUCGGAAGCUAAGCAGGGUCGGGCCUGGUUAGUACUUGGAUGGGAGAAACAAAACAGGAACGAGGGCCAUAAGGU